rnacentral:rRNA from 1 species
AACGAACGCUGGCGGCAGGCCUAACACAUGCAAGUCGAACGCUGCAGCAAUGCAGAGUGGCAGACGGGUGAGUAACGCGUGGGAACCUUCCCAGUGGUACGGAAUAGCCCAGGGAAACUUGGGGUAAUACCGUAUAAGCCCCUAGGGGGAAAGAUUUAUCGCCAUUGGAUGGGCCCGCGUCGGAUUAGCUAGUUGGUGAGGUAACGGUUCACCAAGGCGACGAUCCGUAGCUGGUCUGAGAGGAUGAUCAGCCACACUGGGACUGAGACACGGCCCAGACUCCUACGGGAGGCAGCAGUGGGGAAUAUUGGACAAUGGGCGCAAUCCUGAUCCAGCCAUGCCGCGUGAGUGACGAAGGCCUUAAGGUUGUAAAGCUCUUUUGGCGGAGACGAUAAUGACGGUACCCGCAGAAUAAGCUCCGGCUAACUUCGUGCCAGCAGCCGCCGUAAUAC